AUUUAUGUAGUAUAGAUAAUACAAUACAUUUUCAAUGUAUAGACAGACAUAUGUCUUUUAAAUAUU
rnacentral:tRNA from 2 species